ACUUACUCUCAUUAGCAGCAGCAGUACUGUUUUUGCCGCCGAGUGUGCAGAUAGAGAUAUUGAUGACUCAACCAUUUCUCAAAAAACGUUACGAGAGCCCUGAACCCUCAUAUUCUUAUUGUUCCCUUGUGAUAGACACCACCGGCACCACCCCCAUGUGAUAGACACCACGUGGUUCACGGGGCUCGUCGACCUCUAAGUUAAUCAGUUUGAUUUGACGGUUACCAGCGAAGCAGCAAUGCCUUCAACAAUCAAAUCGCCAUUCUGUCUAUCUUGGUGCAUCGAGAAGGCAGUCGUCGACGCAGAAUCCACAUUAUUCGCUAUUUCACUUACGUCAUAUAAGCCUUCCGGCGGAGCAAAGCGGCGGGUCCAAUUAUCAAAGACCAAAAGAAGAAGUUGACCAGCACACUCUUGUGUUUCUCUCUACCUUGUCUCCCUUUAAAACCCCCCAGCAUCAACGGUCGGUACGAAGAGCGGCAACUGAAAAGGUGCGGGGCUCUCGGCUCAUUAAGGUCCGGCCAGUUACUACUUGAUCCCGCUCUUACUAACAAGGCUAAGAAAAAAAAAAAAAAAGUACACGAGAACAACAACAGAAUGUUUUUUUUUUCUCUUUCCCAUCAACCCCCCCGACCGUUUAAAUAUACCUGCAUAAUGAGCGAUUUACACUCUCGGAGAGGAGAGAUAAUUGCCUUGUGCUCAGAAGAAGAGGAUUUAUUUAUUUUAUAUAUUUUUUUUUCCCCCUCUCUUUUUCUUUAUUCUUCUUGGUUCCAUGGCCGAAUAUAAAAGAAACUGUGAAUUCAUCAGCUUCUAAAGUAUCAGCUUUCUUUUGAAGGGGAUUAAAAAAAAGAAGAAGAAACGGACGAAAUACGAAACAAACUAUUUGCUAAAACGCACCGAUCGGAAGAUUUUUUUUUUUUUUUCACGGUUACUCGCUACAUCUAUAGAGAAUAACAUCGAAUUGACACCGCAUCUCGCAUGUUCGGAAAACGUCUCACUUAUUGUUCCAGCCGUAACCAAUUGAAAAAACCAUUUUUGACCAUACCAUGGACGCUAUACCGUCUGUCAUGUGACCGGAUCUUGCAUUUUUCAAUAGUCGGCAUUUUAUUUUCUAAUUUUCUCUCAAAAUAAAUUU